rnacentral:rRNA from 1 species
AUUGAACGCUGGCGGCAUGCCUUACACAUGCAAGUCGAACGGCAGCACGGGAGCAAUUCUGGUGGCGAGUGGCGAACGGGUGAGUAAUAUAUCGGAACGUGCCCAGUCGUGGGGGAUAACGCAGCGAAAGCUGUGCUAAUACCGCAUACGAUCUAUGGAUGAAAGCGGGGGAUCGCAAGACCUCGCGCGAUUGGAGCGGCCGAUAUCAGAUUAGGUUGUUGGUGGGGUAAAAGCCCACCAAGCCGACGAUCUGUAGCUGGUCUGAGAGGACGACCAGCCACACUGGAACUGAGACACGGUCCAGACUCCUACGGGAGGCAGCAGUGGGGAAUUUUGGACAAUGGGCGCAAGCCUGAUCCAGCAAUGCCGCGUGCAGGAUGAAGGCCUUCGGGUUGUAAACUGCUUUUGUACGGAACGAAACGGCCUACUCUAAUACAGUGGGCUAAUGACGGUACCGUAAGAAUAAGCACCGGCUAACUACGUGCCAGCAGCCGCGGUAAUACGUAGGGUGCGAGCGUUAAUCGGAAUUACUGGGCGUAAAGCGUGCGCAGGCGGUUAUAUAAGACAGAUGUGAAAUCCCCGGGCUCAACCUGGGACCUGCAUUUGUGACUGUAUAGCUAGAGUGCGGCAGAGGGGGAUGGAAUUCCGCGUGUAGCAGUGAAAUGCGUAGAUAUGCGGAGGAACACCGAUGGCGAAGGCAAUCCCCUGGGCCUGCAC